GGUGAACGCUGGCGGCGUGCUUAACACAUGCAAGUCGAACGGUGAAGGCGGAGCUUGCUCUGCUGGAUCAGUGGCGAACGGGUGAGUAACACGUGAGCAAUCUGCCCCUGACUCUGGGAUAAGCGCUGGAAACGGCGUCUAAUACUGGAUACGAGCUGCGAAGGCAUCUUCAGCAGCUGGAAAGAAUUUCGGUCAGGGAUGAGCUCGCGGCCUAUCAGCUUGUUGGUGAGGUAAUGGCUCACCAAGGCGUCGACGGGUAGCCGGCCUGAGAGGGUGACCGGCCACACUGGGACUGAGACACGGCCCAGACUCCUACGGGAGGCAGCAGUGGGGAAUAUUGCACAAUGGGCGAAAGCCUGAUGCAGCAACGCCGCGUGAGGGACGACGGCCCUCGGGUUGUAAACCUCUUUUAGCAGGGAAGAAGCGAAAGUGACGGUACCUGCAGAAAAAGCGCCGGCUAACUACGUG
rnacentral:rRNA from 1 species